CUUCCGUAGGGNGAACCUGCGGAAGGAUCAUUACCGAGUGCGGGUCC
rnacentral:rRNA from 1 species